GACGAACGCUGGCGGCGUGCCUAACACAUGCAAGUCGAACGGAGAAUCAGCAAUGGUUCUUAGUGGCGAACGGGUGAGUAACGCGUAGACAACCUGCCUUCUAGAUGGGGACAACACCGCGAAAGUGGUGCUAAUACCGAAUGUUGUAAUUUUGCUGCAUGGUGAAGUUACUAAAGAUGGCCUCUAUUUAUAAGCUAUCACUAGAAGAUGGGUCUGCGUCUGAUUAGCUAGUUGGUGAGGUAAUGGCUCACGAAGGCGACGAUCAGUAGCCGGUCGGAGACGAUGAACGGCGACACCGGGACCGAGACGCGGCCCAGACUCGUGCGGGAGGCAGCGGUGGGGAAUUUUGGACAAUGGGGGGAAGCCUGAUCCAGCAAGGCCGCGUGGGUGAAGAAGGCCUUGGGGUUGUAAAGCCCUUUCGGAUAGAAAGAAAAUUCUUACUCGAACAUAGUGAGAGAAUGACGGUACUAUCAUAAGAAGCACCGGCUAACUACGUGCCAGCCGCCGCCGUAAGAC
rnacentral:rRNA from 1 species